CUUUAAAUGACUUAGUUUUAGGGUAGGCGUAAUGCAAUCCACACAGGCUGUGAAAUUAUUCUCAUCAGGAGGCUUUAAGGAAGGUUUCUGGGAAGCAAGGCUUCAGGAAUGAGCUGCAUUGAUCCUGUUUUUGGAGAUCAGUCAUAGUGGUAAACAGCAAGCCUCUGUGAUUUAUGACUGGGCUUGCUUGCUGAUAGUACCUUGGAGAUGUCUGAGCACCUGCAGCUGGGGAGCCGGCUUUAGGAACCAGGCAUUUAAACCUUUCAGCAUUCCCACUGAAGUUGGGGAGAGCUUCAAGCACUCAGGAUCUGUUAAAACCAAGAUUCUUUCUUUAUGUGUUCAAGUUCAAGCAGAAGACUAGGUUUGUGGUUUGUUUUUUAGCAAAUAAUUCUUAAUCCUUAUUUUUUCUCCUACCUAGUGUGAUUCAGUAGGCAUACCUGCUUUGUAAAGAGUUACAGAUUCAACAAAACCAAGAUGUACUUUCCUUAUAAUCACAGAAGACAAGACCUCCAGAGGACCUCUGCUGCGCUCCCUACAUUAAGACAGCGGCACCUAUAGCAAGAGCAUGUCUGCUAAAAGAACUUUAUGUUAAUGGCAUCUUAAAGAAAUUAGGGAAAUGGCCGUUAUAAACAAACAGGAAAUAGGAAAAGUGAAUACUCUUUUGCACAAUAGUUUUGAUAAAUUUUGCAGUGAUCACCGCUAUCGCAUUGACUAGGUACCAAAACUAUUUUCAAGAGUUAAAUUCCAAGCAGGAUUUGGACCAUUAUUAGGCCAAAUAUCAAAAAGUCCUUUGUGAGUCCCAAGUACACACAUUUGAAAUUUAAGCACAAAUCCUUCCCUUUUUCAGUUGAUUUUGGUUUUGGAGAAUUGUCCCCCACUUACAUCAGGAUCGAAACAUCACAAUCUUGCAGAAGAAAAAUCUUCUAAUUUACAUGCAUGAAAAUCCACAUCUCCACUAAGCAGGUAGUUUUUUGCUGUUACCCUUUUUCAGUAAAUGAGUGGUACUGCCCUCAUGCCAUUGUAACUGUUAGAGAUUUUUGGCACAGGAUCUCAAAGAGUGAUGGAAGCUUGAUGGAAUUCUUUUUCUUCCUUCCUGUCUCAGUAUUGAAAAUCAAAUAUAAUCACUAUUUAUCCUUCCACCUGCAGAGCUCCCUGCCUUGGGCUUCUCAAGUGGAACCUUGUAACUUCAUAACUCCCAUAAAUCAAGUAAUCCUGUAUUCAGUCUGAGAGAUGCCAUGAACUCAUUUUUUAACCCAACAAGAUUUAUUGGGUGGUGAUUUUUCAUGCCUUCUGGCACCCCAAGACAAUGGAUAUUUAUAUUUUUUUCCUUCUAACUCAUUCUCUAACAUUUCAAAACAAUGACUGUAUAUCAGUUUGUGUGCCAAAAGUAUCACCUCAUGACGAGCUCCUACGCAUUUAUACGCACAUGAUCUGAGAGUGCAUCCAUUUUUUCCAUAACUUACUGUACCACAGGUUUUUACAAUGAGAGAAUGGAAGCAUCUGGAACAGUGUGUUUCACACUGUUGUUCUGAAAGAUCUUGUGAUGUUUCUAGAAAUUGCCAAGAUACAGGUGGUAUAUUAGGCCUUGAGUGAUUAUCUUGUUACCAAAUCUUGCCAACUAGUUUUCAAGAGACCAAGAAAAGACAAAAAAAAAUCUCAGUAAUAGGGUACGAGACAGAGGUUAUUUCUUGGUAAUAAAGUGUCCUGAUACUCAAAUGACUGAAGAACGGUUGUCAUUUCACUCUAUGAAUAUUGUAGGAAUAGGUAUUACUACAGUUUCACAGGACUGCAAAGGUUUAGAUGAACUUUUCUAUUCUCAUACCAAAAUAGAGUGAGUUGAAGAUUCUCUGAAGAGCUAAAUAUUCAUGGAAAGAGAAACAGUAGGAAAACUGGAGCAUAUCUGCACACCUCAGCCGAGCUUAAGCUAGUUACCCUGAAAUGAAGCCAGUGCUGUAAAGCCUGGCAAAGAAACACUGAUGCCAAAAUGCACAAUAGCAAAGCCCAAAGAUUCCUGAAGAAGUAAUGUGAUUGUUGUAUUGAUGCCAUGCAUCUAAUAGGCCUUUGUCUGCUCUGGCUUCUGGUGUGUUUUGUUUCCUGAUAACUGUGUUGUUUUGGUCAGAUCACUAACAUGCUGGUGAGCACAGAGCUAACUACAGCUGCACUCAUCCUUUCACAACUGCAUUUUUUCUAAUUGACACCUCAAUGAUCUGCAAAGAUAGACCUCCACAUUACAAGCAUUAGGCUGCAAUACUAACGUUAUUAGGUGCCAUCAUUAUGAAGUUGAUAAUAUUUUUAAUAUUUUGAUUGCAUUACUGUAUCUGUAAUCCUACAAUUUUCUCAAGGAAUGCUAUUGUGCCGUGAUGUGUAAUAGCACCUGAGAUCACUUAAACACGCCUUGUUUUUAAGCACUUGUAUUCAGAGCUCUUGAAUACAGUGAAGCAAAGUCCCAUCAGAGGAGCAUAGGUAUGUCUGGGCUGCUGACCCCAAGUGACAACAUCAUCCCGUAACAUUAAAAAAAUCCUGUGCUUAGACUGGUCACAGACACUCAAGUGUUCUGCAGAGAAGACAUAAAUAUCUCUCACUAUACAAUACUUGAGAAGUAGGGCCUAGCACUGACUCAAACACCAAAAAAAAAAAAAAAAAAAAAAAAAAAAAAAAAAAAAAAACACUAAAGGUGGAAUUGCUGUAAUUCCUGCGGGGAAUGCGUCUAUGAUUAUGAACAGAGAAGCUGAAGGGGCUCCUUCAAGACUCAGAUCCAGGAUGAAGUGUGGUAGUCAGAGGAAAAACAGUUUGUGCUUUGUUUCCUGCAUCAAGAGAAGUCUCACAGACUGUUUUAAGUUCAGGUUUAGAACUAAGCUGAGACCAGGUUACAGAAACUUGCUAAGUUUCUGGCUUGAUGGUCAAAUCAAUUGUGGUAGAUGCACCAAGAAGCGUAUGAUUUGUUAAUACUUAUGUUUCCAUUAACUUUGUCGGGAUAGAGGUUAAUACUAACAAGGACUGUGAUUAAACUUACAGAAUAAAGAUGAUAAAUUGUUACUUUUACUACAUGAUCCUACAAGAACAUGGAUUCAGGACAAGGGCUUGGGCUGUAAGUUGGUUUUGGAGCAUUCUAGGAGGAAUUCUCUUGAGAAAAGGUAACUGUGCUGGCUCUCAGAAAUGUGAAUGUACUGAAGUUGUUACCCUGGAAAGCAGGAAAACUGAAGUAACCUAUGAACUGGAAAGAUAUUGGAAACAAGACAUGGAACACUUUGCAAGAUUGCCUGAACCAAAGUACUGCAGUGAGAACUGAUGACUGAAAAGCUUACAGUAAUUCAGUUUGAAGUGUUUUUAACCACGUGGAAUGCUCUCUCCGUACAGCAGCAGGCAAUCUCUCAGCAGCCCACAUUUUGUGGCUGUUCAAAUUCAGAAUUUCAUUCCUAGUGAUGGUUUCAAAAUAUACACAUGAAAUGUGAAGAAAACGUCCUGGGAAACAACUGUAAAAUAAAAUUGGGUAAGAUUUAUUCAGUGCAUACUGAUUUCACAUGUCCUUAAGGCUGUGUAAUUUAAUAGACAAUACUGGCAAAUGUAAUAUGGAUUAUGUUAAUAGGUUAUGGAUUAUGCUAACACUGUUUGAGAACUCCAUAGAAUAUGGUAGAAAAUAUUUAUUUCUUUUAACCUUUUUGUCUGUAGCAAAGUCAUAAUGGUUUAUUCAAUUAAUGAAUUCAAAAAUAGUUUAAAAGAGCUUGUGUUACACUUUGCGGUAUGGAUAAUGAUGACAAAAUCUCAAAACCAACACAGCCUGCUUUGGCUCUGCACCGCCACCCAUCUCGAGGAAAAACCUUAAUGCUCUUCCAGAGAUGACAUCAUGGACUUCAUCUGAAUGUUUGGGAAAAAAAGUAAAAAAUAAAAAGGGACUAUGUGUUCAUGCCAACCUCAGUGCUUAUCUGCAUCCAGACAUCAGCCUUACAGCCUCAGCACUGAAAGCCCUGGAGACACGUGAAGCAGCUGCGCCGCGCUCCAGCUCAGCUCAGCGCUGCUCUGUGCAGGGUUGGGUGAGCUCUGCUCGGUGAGCGGUGCUGAGCCAGAGCCCACCGUGCUGAGGAGGUUGCCACGGUUACCGCAGGGAUCCUGCGCUUGGUGCUGAGAUUCAGGGCUGUAAUAGAGACGCUUUGCUUCACUAAACAGGAAAAAAAUAGCAAGAUAUAGAACAAAGAUUAAGUAACUGAAUUUCUGCAGAAGUAAAUAAAAAUAAACAAUGACAAUUACAUAUAGGCAAAAUGCAAGAGCUGUAAAACUGUUGCUAAUCCCUUAAUUAUAUACAGAUGUUUAAAUCAAAUGUUUUAUAAACCCAGUGGGAAUUUUCAACACAAUACGGUUAUAAAUACAAACUCAAUCUCUAUUAUACCCUUUGCCACUCUCUUAUCCCAGCUGUAGUGCCUGUGGACAGAUACCUUGUUCUAGUGUGGGAUGAGGUGAAGCCCCAUCAUCAACCUCAGCACAACUCCUGCUGCGUUCAGCCAUAAUGAGUCUCAUCCUGCAGUAUGUUAACUGAGCUACAGGUUAACUCAAUGACUGAAUGACAGGUACACUUAGAAUCAGGAUAGCUGCUGCAACUUGAAAGGUGAGCGCGGUAGGGUAGUGUGGGGAUGGGCCUCUUUUCCUAGGUAACAGUGCUAAGAUGAGAGGUAAUGGCCUUAAGUUAUGCAUGGAAAGAUUCAGGUUGGAUAUUAGAAAAGAUUUGUUCUCAGAAAGAGCAGUGAGGCACUGGAACAGGGUGCCAUGAAAGUGGUGGAGUAACUAUCCCUGGAAGUGUUCAAGAACCAUGUAGAUGUGGCACUCAGGGACAUGGUCAGUGGGCACGGUAGUGACGUGUAGAUGGUUGGACUGGAUGGUCUUAGUGGUCUUUUCCAACCUUAAUGAUUCUAUGAUUCUAUAAUUUGUCACACAGGUCGGUGUGAGAUGGGGUAACCAGAGCUGCACAUCAGAGCACAGACAUGACACCAUGCUGCUGGGUAUGGCACAUGAGCAGUCCUGCAUAAGCACAGUGAGUGUGUGACUAAUUUUAUUACUUACAUAGGAUAAAAUAGCUUGUAUCUGAGUUCAGAAUUGAGCCCCUGGUAUAAAUACAGAUUUACAUUAUGAGUUCAGAAACUACUGAUGGUGGCUGUGAAACGCACUAACAUUUCAAAAGCCUCCUAAAAUGUUGAGAAAAUUCCAUCAAUCACGGUCUUAAAACUGUUCAUGCCCUUCAUCAUUUUGGACUCCUUUUACAUAAUUUUCAGCUCCUAUUUUACAGUCUGUAGUUGAAGAAGUCCUCUUGCUCUUUCCUUUAUUUACUUACUUUUGACAUGGAAGCACAUACAUUUUAUGCUUCUCUUGCAAAAACUUAUGUGAUCAGUAUAAGGUCAAGAAGAGGUAACUCAUAUAAUAAAAGAGUUUGAGUCAAAACUCAUUUUAAAAGUAAUGAGACAUCACUUCUAUAAUUAUUUGUGAUACAAUAUUAGAAUGAGGAAUUACUUUGACCAAAAAAUAUUCACUUUUUUUUUGAGGAAUUGUUUAAAUGCAAAUAUCUUUGGCUUAAUAAUUGCUACAGAAUAUUCUCAAGCAUAGGCUGUUUCUUUGCUUUUGCUGUGAAACAUAGGUUGGACACUUCUAUACUAGCAUUCUUAACCAUUUCAGUUAUUCAGGAUAUUAUUGAAAUUUGUUUCUUUCUAAAUCAUUUAUUUCUGAAGCUACUAGUUUUGAAAUUACUGUAGCGCAAUUCCUCAGUGCAGAAAUCUUGAAGAAGGAAAGCUAGGAAGCCCUAGUAGAAAACUGAAAUGAAUUAGGCAAAUAGAUGAAUGAAAAAGUAAAAUUAGUAACUCUAAGGGGGCAGUUUACUUAUCGGGAAAGUAAUUUUAUGAACUUAAUCUAUUUAGGCAAGAAUCUUUGGGGUUUUUUUCUGAAGGUUUUCAAGCAGCAGAAUUAAACGAGGUAAUGUUGGUUCAUUAUGCCCAAGUUCAGCCAACACUGUGAAAAGCCCCAUCAAAAAUCAACAACGCUCGUUCUGGCUUAUCCCUCAUUUGCCAGCUGAUCACUGAAUCUGCCCAGGAUGUUUCCAUUUGUAGAAGACAAACCCAGGUAGUUAUUGGUUUGAGAGCAAAGAUCCUUCCAUUUAGAGGUGUGUUUCUCACAGGCACUUACAGUGGGUUUGGCCUUUGAUGGUUAUUUAGGCAUGUAAGUGUCCAAUAUUACUUAACGCUUGGCUUUCUCACUGGAGGAUCCGUGACAGGCCCAGGCUUCUGGAGACUUCCACCUGUAAGCUUUGAAUUUCUGCAUGGGCCAAUCCAUCGCCACAUGGCAGCUCAAUCAAGGUGAGAUUUUAUGAGGGUAUUGCUUUUUUAUGUCAGCUGGCAGCAGCUUACCCAUGGUGACGAGCAACAGCAGGGGACAGUUGAGCAAGAAUCUCUCUUUGUUUGGAACCCACUCUUCACUGCCCUUGUGUGGGCAGUAGAGGCAUUCUCAGAACCUGCUUGGCACAGUCGGAGGGUAAGAGAAGGCAGAGAAUCUGUUCUAGAAAUUGGUGCUGCCCCUUAACUUUUGAAUCACAAUGUUCAAUCCCUAUGUAAAAAGCAAGGCAGCAGCUUUGGUUCCACCUCCCUUAUUCCUGAACACUCACUGUCACACACACAGGCCUGGGGCAGGCAGCUGGUGUGCAGCAGAGGUGUGCUGCAAGAGUGCCUGCUUCUCCUCCUGCCUUUUUUUAUGAGGUUCUAAGCCUGUUUUCCUUCUUUGCUUUUACCAUGCCUCUGACUGCAAGAGACUCAAGAGAAUGCAGCCAGGAGACAAAGUACUGAAUUUGCUGCAUCCGAAUUCUAUAUGAGCAAACUUUAUGUCACAAACAGCUCAGUGAUUUCAUUGAGAUAUAAAGUUGAAGAAGAAGCUGACAAAGAUUAGAAAAAUCUCUCAGCAGCAUAGAAAAAAAAUGCCCAAAAGUAGCCAAGUAAAUUGCUGUUUGUCCAUGAGAUGUGAAAGUCUAUCCUCAACAUAUUCAUGGAAAUGCAGAUUUAUUCAAAAUUUCUCUGUCUUUCUAUCUGUCACAAGUUUUUUGCAACUUUAAAUGAUUGGACUGGAUAACUGAAUUUAAAACCUAAUGUGUUUAGCUGUAACAAAUGGAUAAGUAAUGGUCAGAAUUUUAGUGAGACACUUAACACAUGAUUCUGGAGUUUGCACAAAAUUAAAGGGAUUAAAUAUCUCUCCUAGGAUUUACAGUAUGAUGUGAGCCUAUAAAUAGAAAAGACUGUAAUUCAGCUGCCUACCAAAUAUCUAUUUAAAAUGCAUAUCGGGCUCUCAGUCUAAUUGAAAAAACACGAAGAAAAAGCGGUCAUAAUAAAAAUCUGAGGUUAUAUUGAGGCUGAUUUUUGGAUUUUGUAUUGUUAAGAGAAGUUUAGAGGCAACUAAAAGGAUUUUUCCACCUGAUCUGACUAAAUGAGAGGACAAAGGGAGGACUGUCCAGAGUACAAGCAAUGACCUAUGAGAUUAAAAAGAAGUCUCUUUGUUGCAAUUUUAUCAUCACUUGUAAGUGACAAAGUACCAAAAGACAGGUUUGUGGCAGCUGCAAUAUAUUUUCUUCAGAGCAGGAAAAUCAUCAACAAGGUGUCUGUAUGUGUGUAGCACUGCUUGAAUAUGAAAGCAAUUUUCUGAAGCCCUGUGGCUUAAUUCUAUUGUUUUCGUCAAGAACAAGUAUUCUGGAUCACAAUCUUCAGCAACUGAUAGUAAUGGACACUCUGUGAAAAAUGGAUGAGCAAGUUCUUCAAACGACUACUGGACAAGGCUUCAGUACUAUCAACAGCAAUAUUUGCACUUAUCUAAAAAUAAAUUAAUUGCUAGCAGCGUUUCAGUACAUUUGCUUCUCUGGAUUCUGUGUACAAUUUCCAUUAAACUAAAGGGGAAAGGAAAUAUGUAAAGGGAAUAAAACAAAGAGAAAGGAAACAAAAAAGAAGGCAUGCUGCAUGUAGAGAGCAACUAUAAUCUAUUUUCUAAAUACAUUUGUUCUAAUAAAAUAUUAGCUAGAAAUACAAGCAGUGAUGGAACUGCUCAGAGCAUAGAUAAUAUGGGAUUAUAUACAUUAUUGCAUGAUUUACCUUGAAGAUUAGGUAGAAAACCUAAUUAUGCAUUCAAUAUUCAUUCUUAGUAUCUCCUGAAAAACACUGCAGAUUCAUGAGAGUCAGUUCUUUUUUCCUGCAGCAGGACCAUAUCCUCCAGCAUUUGAUGGCAACAUAAAUUAUAAGGUUCUUUAAUUAUUCAGUUCCGCCCAGACUGGCCAGCACCCUCAUUAUCUUCCCAUGCAGAGCACCUUUCAACUUAGAGCAAAGCCUGUCUGUACAGGAGCAGGUUGUAGACAAGCCGAAAGAAUUCUGUUUUCAUGGUCAAACUAACAUAGUCACUGACUUCUCCAUCUACACAAAAUCAGCCACCCUCUGGUCACUGGUUUUAUCCUAGUUAUUAACUUAAAUUAACCUUUCAUAUAGAACUGUGAAGAAUAUUUGCAUUUGAUUCUAAAAUCCUUCUGAUAUCAAAGAAAAAAAUAUCUUAGGCAGGGACAAGAUCGGGCACUGGAAGCAUUUGAAUUGAAGUAAAAAUUCAAGAUGUUGAGCCUGAUUUAGGCAAGGAUAUAAUACAAGCACAGACUUCACUUUGUACAUGUAAGCAGUCUCCUUUCAGACAGCAAAGUAAAAGCAUGUAGAGGUAAACAAGGGCAAGAUGAAGUCUGUUCAAUUAUUUGAGCAUUUACACAAAGGCAUUUAACCCCAAAACUCCAAAGAUAUUUAGGUGCCUUAAUUCCUCUCAGAAGCUGUGCACUGCUGAGGAGCUCUGGAGGCAGGCUUCUCUGGUAAUGGGAGCUAAAAGAAAAUUAUAUUUUAUUGAAUUUCUAUUCAUAUAUAUAAACAAUAUGAACCUGUUAUAUUGACUCUUGAUUUUAACUCUUUGUAUUUUAUGCAUUAAAAUGAUUAGUCUUAAAUGAUUUUUAAGCUAGAUUUUCUAGUUAGAGCAAAAAUCAUGCCAUUAAAAUAACACUGGGAAAUUAGCUAUUGGAAGUACUCAUUAUUUGUCUAUACGCAAACUGAAACUUCCCAAGUCUAAUCACAAAGGAAUGUUCAUUAGCUCUCUGCCACAGCAGUAGCACCGUUCUGCUGAAGACACACAUUACAUUUACUGUUAUAAAGCUCAUGAAGACGGUGCCUUGGAGCCAAAAUAAGACUUUCAGUAUAGAUGCUCUGCCCACAAACAAGGUUCAGUGGAAGAUCAGUGCACAUUCGAGCAUAGGCUCUGCCCAGAGCUUUCCCUAUUCCUGCUUUUCUUGGGCAACAAAUGCUUACAGCCAUCCAAGACAAUUAGCAGCCUGUGGGUAUGUGUAUGCUGUUACCUAUUCAGCUGAAUUUCCCAAGCUGUGACAAAGGGCUGGCAAAGUGAAUGGGAACUGCAGACUGUAAGGUGAUGGCAUCUCCCGUAGUGGGACUGUGUUAGUUGCACUAUGAAAUAUUUCUGCCUAACCUCCACAAAGAAUGGAAAACUACAGCAAUCUGUCUUCAACUCCCACUCUACUAAGGUGUGAAUAAUAAAUGGCUGAAUACAACUAUCACAAGUAAGGCUGCUAUUUAGGUUAACUGUAAACCAACCAACUGCACCAAGAGUCAUAAGGGCUGUAGGUAUUGUUAAGCACUGGUUAAAAGCCUAACUGACACCUGGAAAAGAGUAUUCUUUGUAAGUCAAGUUUAAAAAGGGAAUUGUGGAUACACUUCUGUCUAAUUGCUUUCAACAACAGUAAUUUCUGAUACCAUUUGCUGUAACAAUAAAUACUAAACAUUUACAUGUGCAUUAUUCCCCUAAAUACAAAAAUUAUGUAAAACCAGUAUUAUGAAUAUAUUUAGCAAAUGUUAAAGUCUAUUUGAAAACUCUGAGCAUUUCUUGCAUUGGAUUCACAAUUGAAUAAGUAGACCUCAGAAUGCAAAGAUAGCGACUCUUUUAAAGGCAAAUUAUGAAAGUAUAUAGUAUUAUAGCACAAAAAUAAUGGAAAAGAUAUCUUCAGUAAACUCCAGUACCAUAUAAGCAGCCUCAUACCCUUCAUGUAGAUUUCUUAAAUUUCCUCAAAACUGACUCCCUCUGUGAAAAAAAUAUAUCUAGUCACAAUGCAAGACUCUUAAUGGAUCAUUGAGGCCAGAGUCAUUAGGGCUGAGAUUCUGGGAGGGAUUCCAGAAAGAUCAGACUAUAAACAAGAAAAAUACAUUCAUUAUUUAUCGAGAUAUUGGCGUUCUGUCUCUUCAUUCAACUACUUCUAACACUGCACAUGAGAACUACAGUACUGAAAAUAUACUGUAUCAGGAAUGGCAAACAAGAUCUAUGAACAAUUUGUCCCUCCUGUCAUUGCCAGAAUAAGACUCACCAAAGAUCAGAAAUGAAGCAAAACAAAAGAAAAAACUUACAAAAAAAAAAACCCAACCAAACCUCAUAGAAAACUGACCAACCAACAAGCACUGGGUACUCAGUUCAAACAACUCACAUAUCAAGGGCUAAAUGUUCAAAUUUUGGGAAAUUCAAAUUGUGUUACACAAUUUCUAUGUGAAAAUUGGCAAUGCAUGCAUGCUUCUGCAAGGCAUUUGUGAAUGUAUGAGCCCAUUUCUCAAUUAAGGAGCAGGUAUCUGUACUGUACUCUGUAUUUGAUACAGUUAGGCACCGAAAGCACACAAGUAUUUUGUAAUAAAUCAUUUAAAGAAUGGAAAAGAUUUAAAUUCUUACACAUUCAGUUUGCAGCUAGCACAAACAAUAAUGCUGGAAUACUUUGUAUGGGCAAGAAUUCUACAAUAUUUGGAAUAGAUAAAAUAGAUGUUCAUGCAAGGAUUUCUGGACCAUCAGCUCCGUGGUAUCUUAAUCAAUAAAAUCAUAUAAUUCCAUUUAUCCAUUCAUUGAUACCCAUGUAAAAAACUGUCUUACCUCCACAGUCCCACACAGGAUUUUCACAGUCACUCUUUUGAAAGGCUUUAAAUUUUCCUUGAGUUUUAUCCUAAGUUUAUUUAUUCACAUGUUUACUCAUCUAAACUCAUUUGUUUUGAGCCAACUAUGCCCUUGAGUUUAGCCAACUCUUCUCAGUCCCUCUUGUCCAUCUUCCUGACAUAUCCAAAAACAGCAAUCAUAUCCUCUUCCAGCCUACUGCUGGCAAAGCUAAAUUAACCCUGUUGCAAUCUUCCAUUCCUUGAUUACCCAGAGACUUUUCUUUGUAAUUGUUUCUCCUUUGUUUCAACUUGAUUGUAUGUAAGUUAGAAGAAUGUCCUAAGUACACCAGAUGAGAUCUCAUCGGGGCCUUAUAAGAUGGCAUUCACAUUUCUUGCUUUCUCUUAGAAAUGUUUCAUAUUGUAUAUCCUAAGACUGCUUACAUUUCACAGUCUGGAUUAUAUCAUGCUGUUGCUUUCUGUAUCAGAGAAUAAUUGCAGCCCCUUUUAACUAGCUGUUACAGACUUGGCCAACAUCAUUAGUCUUUGGUAAAUGUAAACUCAACACUUCAAAUUCCUUUCGAAUUAUUAAAAUCCUUUAAGUACA